AGAGUAGCUCAGUUGGUAGAGCAACUCACUUGUAAUGAGUAGGUCGGAGGUUCGAGUCCUCUCUCU
rnacentral:tRNA from 1 species